rnacentral:rRNA from 1 species
GACGAACGCUGGCGGCGUGCUUAACACAUGCAAGUCGAACGGGCCCGCCCCUGUUUUUGGGGGUGGGUUGAGUGGCGAACGGGUGAGUAUCACGUGAGUAACCUGCCCCCUGCUCCUGGAUAACUGCUUGAAAGGGCGGCUAAUACGGAGUGUGCCGGCUGGUCCGCAUGGGCCUGGUCGGGAUAGUUUCAUCUUCGGGUGUUUCGGUGGGGGAUGGGCUCGCGGCCUAUCAGCUUGUUGGUGGGGUGAUGGCCCACCAAGGCGGUGACGGGUAGCCGGCCUGAGAGGGUGGGCGGCCACACUGGGACUGAGACACGGCCCAGACGCCGGCGGGAGGCAGCAGUGGGGGGUAUUGCACAAUGGGCGGAAGCCUGAUGCAGCGACGUCGCGUGAGGGAUGGAGGCCUUCUGGUUGUGAACCUCUUUCUCCGGUGGUGAAGGCCCUGUCCGUUGCGGCGGGGUUGACGGUAGCCGGGGAUGAAGCGCCGGCUAACUACGUG